rnacentral:rRNA from 1 species
AGAGUUUGAUUAUGGCUCAGGAUGAACGCUAGCGAUAGGCCUAACACAUGCAAGUCGAGGGGCAGCACAUGAAGUAGCAAUACGGAUGGUGGCGACCGGCGCACGGGUGAGUAACGCGUAUGCAACCUGCCUACAACAGGGGAAUAACCCGUUGAAAGACGGACUAAUACCCCAUAACACAGGGAUCCCGCAUGGGAAUAUUUGUUAAAGAUUUAUCGGUUGUAGAUGGGCAUGCGUUCCAUUAGCUUGUUGGUGAGGUAACGGCUCACCAAGGCAACGAUGGAUAGGGGAACUGAGAGGUUUAUCCCCCACACUGGUACUGAGACACGGACCAGACUCCUACGGGAGGCAGCAGUGAGGAAUAUUGGUCAAUGGACGCAAGUCUGAACCAGCCACGUCGCGUGAAGGAAGACGGCCCUACGGGUUGUAAACUUCUUUUGUAAGGGAAUAAAGUGUAGUACGUGUACUAUUUCGCAUGUACCUUACGAAUAAGGAUCGGCUAACUCCGUGCCAGCAGCCGCGGUAAUACGGAGGAUCCGAGCGUUAUCCGGAUUUAUUGGGUUUAAAGGGUGCGCAGGCGGGAGAUUAAGUCGGCGGUGAAAUUUUGCAGCUCAACUGUAAAAGUGCCUUCGAAACUGGUUUCCUUGAGUGUGGAUGAAGUAGGCGGAAUUUGUGGUGUAGCGGUGAAAUGCAUAGAUAUCACGAGGAACUCCGAUUGCGCAGGCAGCUUACUAAACCAUAACUGACGCUCAGGCACGAAGGCGUGGGGAUCAAACAGGAUUAGAUACCCUGGUAGUC